rnacentral:rRNA from 1 species
GAUGAACGCUGGCGGCGUGCUUAACACAUGCAAGUCGAACGAUGAAGCCCAGCUUGCUGGGUGGAUUAGUGGCGAACGGGUGAGUAACACGUGAGUAACCUGCCCUUAACUCUGGGAUAAGCCUGGGAAACUGGGUCUAAUACCGGAUAGGAGCGUCCACCGCAUGGUGGGUGUUGGAAAGAUUUAUCGGUUUUGGAUGGACUCGCGGCCUAUCAGCUUGUUGGUGAGGUAAUGGCUCACCAAGGCGACGACGGGUAGCCGGCCUGAGAGGGUGACCGGCCACACUGGGACUGAGACACGGCCCAGACUCCUACGGGAGGCAGCAGUGGGGAAUAUUGCACAAUGGGCGCAAGCCUGAUGCGGCGACGCCGCGUGAGGGAUGACGGCCUUCGGGUUGUAAACCUCUUUCAGUAGGGAAGAAGCGAAAGUGACGGUACCUGCAGAAGAAGCACCGGCUAACUACGUG